rnacentral:rRNA from 1 species
CCUACGGGUGGCAGCAGUGGGGAAUAUUGCACAAUGGGGGAAACCCUGAUGCAGCGACGCCGCGUGAGUGAAGAAGGAUUUCGGGAGGUAAAGCUCUAUCAGCAGGGAAGAAGCAAGAGGGGACCGGACGAAGAAGCCCCGGCGAACUACGUGCCAGCAGCCGCGGUAAUACGGAGGGGGCAAGCGUGAUCCGGAUUUACGGGGGGUAAAGGGAGCGUAGACGGUCUUGAAAGUCUGAAGUGAAAGCCCAGGGCUUAACCCUGGGACUGCUUUGGAAACUGUUAGACUAGAGUGCUGGAGAGGUUAGUGGACUUCCUCUUGUAGCGGUGCAAUGCUUAGAUAUUAGGAG